GAUGAACGCUAGCGGGAGGCUUAAUACAUGCAAGUCGAGCGCUCUGACUUCGGUUGGGGAGCGGCGCACGGGUGAGUAACACGUACGCAAUCUACCUUAAGCUGGGGGAUAGCCCUGGGAAACUGGGAGUAAUCCGCCAUAGUAUUUGAAGAUGGCAUCACCUUCAAAUUAAAGUGAUAGCGGCUUAAGAUGAGCGUGCGUCUGAUUAGCUAGUUGGCGAGGUAACGGCUCACCAAGGCGACGAUCAGUAAGGGGCGUGAGAGCGUGGCCCCUCACACGGGUACUGAGACACGGACCCGACUCCUACGGGAGGCAGCAGUAAGGAAUAUUGGACAAUGGGCGGGAAGACCUCGAUCCAGCCAUCCCGCCGUGCUUGAUGAAGGCCCU
rnacentral:rRNA from 1 species